GGGAGGCAAACAGGGAUUAGAUACCCUGGUAGUCCACGCCGUAAAACGAUGAGUUGCUAAGUGUUAGAGGGGUUUCCGCCCUUUAGUGAUGAAAGUUAAACGCAUUAAGCAUUCCGCUUGGGGAGUACGGGCCGCAAGGGCUGAAACUCAAAGGGAAUUGACGGGGGCCCGCACAAGCGGGUGGAGCAUGUGGUAUAAUUUUGAAGCCAACGCGAAGAAACCUUACCAGGUCUUGACAUCCUUUGAAAAACCCUAGAAGAUAGGGCUUCUCCUUCGGGAGCAGAGUGACAGGUGGUGCAUGGUGUCGUCAGCUCGUGUCGUGAGAUGUUGGGUUAAGUCCCGCAACGAGCGCAACCCUUGAUCUUAGUUGCCAUCAUUAAGUUGGGCACUCUAAGGUGACUGCCGGUGACAAACCGGAGGAAGGUGGGGAUGACGUCAAAUCAUCAUGCCCCUUAUGACCUGGGCUACACACGUGAUACAAUGGACGGUACAAAGAGCUGCAAGACCGCGAGGUGGAGCUAAUCUCAUAAAACCGUUCUCAGUUCGGAUUGUAGGCUGCAACUCGCCUACAUGAAGCUGGAAUCGCUAGUAAUCGCGGAUCAGCAUGCCGCGGUGAAUACGUUCCCGGGCCUUGUACACACCGCCCGUCACACCACGAGAGUUUGUAACACC
rnacentral:rRNA from 1 species